UGGCGCCCAAUAUGGGCUCAAGAAUGGGGAACUCCAUGAGGGACACUGUUCGUGGGCCCAAAGUAGAAAAAAAGAAAAGAAAAUAGAGACCCUGACAAUGUGGAGCCUGCCAUGCUGCGCUGAAUCUCAGUAAGUGAAUAGCGAUUAUAGGACAAGAAAUGAGCCAGCAUGAGAUUUUCGUUGAAAGUUUAGCAAAGGCUUUAAAGGCACAAAGAGUAAAGGUCAAAAUUAAGCAAUUGUGUCAAUAUUUUGAUUUUAUAAAAGAAGUUUGUCUUU
rfam:Cavia porcellus supercont2_2 genomic scaffold, whole genome shotgun sequence.